rnacentral:rRNA from 1 species
GUGCACCAGUCGAGAAACUUUACAAUGUGCGAAAGCACGAUAAGGGAACUCUGAGUGCCUCCUAAGGAGGCUGUUCAGGUGUCUAAAAGCACCUGAAGGAAGGGCUGGGUAAGACCGGUGCCAGCCGCCGCGGUAACACCGGCAGCCCAAGUGGUAGCCACGUUUAUUGGGUCUAAAGCGUCCGUAGCCGGCUGGGUAAGUUCCUUGGGAAAUUUGGCUGCUUAACAGUCAAGCUUUCAGGGAAUACUGCCCGGCUUGGGACCGGGAGAGGUCAGAGGUACUCCAGGGGUAGGGGUGAAAUCCAUUAAUCCUUGGGGGACCACCGGUAGCGAGGGCGUCUGACCAGACCGGAUCCGACGGUGAGGGACGAAGGCUAGGGGCGCGAACCGGAUUAGAUACCCCUGUAGU